GAUGAACGCUGGCGGCGUGCCUAAUACAUGCAAGUCGAGCGAACGGACGAGAAGCUUGCUUCUCUGAUGUUAGCGGCGGACGGGUGAGUAACACGUGGAUAACCUACCUAUAAGACUGGGAUAACUUCGGGAAACCGGAGCUAAUACCGGAUAAUAUUUUGAACCGCAUGGUUCAAAAGUGAAAGACGGUCUUGCUGCCACUUAUCGAUGGAUCCGCGCUGCAUUAGCUAGUUGGUAAGGUAACGGCUUACCAAGGCAACGAUGCAUAGCCGACCUGAGAGGGCGAUCGGCCACACGGGAACUGAGACACGGUCCAGACUCCUACGGGAGGCAGCAGUAGGGAAGCUUCCGCAGUGGGCGAAAGCCUGACGGAGCAACGCCGCGUGAGUGAUGAAGGUCUUCGGAUCGUAAAACUCUGUUAUUAGGGAAGAACAUAUGUGUAAGUAACUGUGCACAUCUUGACGGUACCUAAUCAGAAAGCCACGGCUAACUACGUG
rnacentral:rRNA from 1 species